rnacentral:rRNA from 1 species
UACAGAGGUCUCAACCGUUGUUCGGAUUCAUUGGGCGUAAAGGGUGCGUAGGCGGUCGCGCAAGUCGGAUGUGAAAUCUUAGGGCUCAACCCUGAAACUGCAUUCGAUACUGCGUGGCUAGAGUACUGGAGAGGAGACUGGAAUUUACGGUGUAGCAGUGAAAUGCGUAGAUAUCGUAAGGAAGACCAGUGGCGAAGGCGAGUCCCUGGACAACUCCUGACACUGAGGCACGAAAGCUAGGGGAGCAAACAGG